CCUACGGGUGGCAGCAGUGAGGAAUAUUGGUCAAUGGACGAGAGUCUGAACCAGCCAAGUAGCGUGAAGGAUGACUGCCCUAUGGGUUGUAGACUUCUUUUAUAUGGUAAUAAAAUGUUCCACGUGUGGGAUUUUGUAUGUACCAUAUGAAUAAGGAUCGGCUAACUCCGUUCCAGCAGCCGCGGUAAUACGGAGGAUGCGAGCGUUAUCCGGAUUUAUUGGGUUUAAAGGGUGAGCAGGCGGAAGAUAACUUCAGCGGUAAAAUUGCGAGGCUCAACCUCUUCGCGCCGUUGAAACUGGUUUUCUUGAGUGAGCGAGAAGUAUGCGGAAUGCGUGGUGUAGCGGUGAAAUGCAUAGAUAUCACGCAGAACUCCGAUUGCGAAGGCAGUAUACCGGCGCGCAACUGACGCUCAUGCACGAAAGCGUGGGUAUCGAACAGGAUUAGAUACCCUUGUAGUC
rnacentral:rRNA from 1 species